rnacentral:rRNA from 1 species
GACGGGGGCCCGCACAAGCGGUGGAGUAUGUGGUUUAAUUCGAAGCAACGCGAAGAACCUUACCAGGGCUUGACAUCCUACUAACGAAGUAGAGAUACAUUAGGUGCCCUUCGGGGAAAGUAGAGACAGGUGGUGCAUGGUUGUCGUCAGCUCGUGUCGUGAGAUGUUGGGUUAAGUCCCGCAACGAGCGCAACCCUUAUUGUUAGUUGCUACGCAAGAGCACUCUAGCGAGACUGCCGUUGACAAAACGGAGGAAGGUGGGGAACGACGUCAAAUCAUCAUGCCCCUUAUGUCCUGGGCCACACACGUACUACAAUGGCGGCUAACAAAGGGAGGCAAUACCGCGAGGUGGAGCAAAUCCCCAAAAGCCGUCCCAGUCCGGAUUGCAGGCUGAAACUCGCCUGUAUGAAGUUGGAAUCGCUAGUAAUCGCGGAUCAGCAUGCCGCGGUGAAUACGUUCCCGGGCCUU